CUAGAAACGAUCAAAUCACAUAGAGCUGGUGGCGUUUGCCCAAUUUUGUUUCCAACAUGAGCAAGCCAUGCGACGGUGCCAAGACGGAGUGGCCUGAGCUGGUCGGGCGCACGAUCAAGGAGGCGGAGGAGAAGAUCAAGGCGGACCGGCCGGACCUCAAAGUCAGAAUUGUCCCGGUAGGAAGUAUUGUGACACACGACGAAGAUUUGAACCGCGUCCGUGUCUGGGUCGACAUGGUGGCGGAGGUUCCCAAGAUUGGCUAAGCUAGCUCAUAAUUAGCCGACUGGAAUAAAAGCCCAUGCAAGUCUCAACAUCGUCGAGUUAAUCGGCCAAAUAAAUAAGCAUGGUACAUUCUGAAGAAAAUAAGUGUUGUGGGUGUUUCGCGGAAAAUGUAUGGAUGUGUUAUGUAAAAUUUUUCGCGAAUACGCAUUGUUGCGUAUCUUUGCAUUGAUAAGUUGAAAAA